GACGAACCGUGCAAACGUUGUUCGGAAUCACUGGGCUUAAAGGGCGCGUAGGCGGGUUCGCAAGUCUGUGGUGAAAGCCCCCAGCUUAACUGAGGAAGUGCCGUGGAUACUGCGAGUCUUGAGGAGGGUAGGGGCAUCUGGAACACUGGGUGGAGCGGUGAAAUGCGUUGAUAUCCAGUGGAACUCCGGUGGCGAAGGCGAGGUGCUGGACCCUUUCUGACGCUGAUACGCGAAAGCCAGGGGAGCAAACGGG
rnacentral:rRNA from 1 species